rnacentral:rRNA from 1 species
UACGAAGGGGGCUAGCGUUGUUCGGAAUUACUGGGCGUAAAGCGCGCGCAGGCGGUCUUCCAAGUCAGUGGUGAAAGCCUGGAGCUCAACUCCAGAACUGCCAUUGAAACUGUUAGACUUGAGUACGAGAGAGGUUAGUGGAAUUCCCAGUGUAGAGGUGAAAUUCGUAGAUAUUGGGAAGAACACCAGUGGCGAAGGCGGCUCACUGGCUCGUAACUGACGCUCAGGCGCGACAGCGUGGGGAUCAAACAGG